CCCCCCCGUAUAUGCCGCUAUCAUCACGGUUUCACACAGGAAAAGCAGCCUUUGCCAGGCGGUGGGUAUCUUGGUCUUUUUUAAGAGAUAACAGUUUUGAUUUUUUUUUUUAUUUAUUUUUACAGGAGCAAAGUUGCUGGAUAUUUCUCGCUGCUGCUGCAUGGGAGCAGGGAACCAGGCGCACACGAAGCUAGGAAGGAGACUGCAGCCCUGUUGCGUCCUCUAAUGUCUCCAGCUUGUAGCUACCAGCCUCAGGGCCAUUUCCAUCCCUCAGGGAAUGGAUUGCCCUGUCCAAGAAGCAGCCGAAAGCAGAUGAAUCAUGAACACAACUGUACCGGUGCAGUUUUACAAGCGACCUGGUUGGGACUCUGUAAGAACGGGGAAUCUAGAGAGUGGCUGGGUCGAAAACGCUAAGCCCCCAACCCAACUCCCACUGAGGUCUCUGCUUCCUUUUUAUGACUUCCCCCAAUUAGAUGACACAGUUCCACCUCCUCACAGCCUAAUGAGCCACAGCUGCCAGCCCUUCUCUGCACGGGGGACAGUCUCGAAGGGCUCUCUGUUGAGAAAGCUUAACUCCUUGCUAGCCCAGACUGGCCACAUGUACCCAAGCACUGCCCUCUGCUAUGGAUAAUUACUGUAGUAUUUCUAUUGUGUGUUCACCAAGGAAGACUCCAAAGUCCUUUGCAUUCCUACCAAAAAGAAACAUGAACCAUAAUGAGAGAUCAAGUAUCCUUACUACUGGAAUGCAGCUAUUUCUGGGGUGGAACAUGACAGCUUGUAGACCAUGCACAGUUACACUGCCCAACAAUUAAGG
rnacentral:lncRNA from 1 species